GGCAAUCCAUCCCACGUGACACCUACUCGCGCCGGCCCUGCUUGUAGCUUCUUCUAACAAAGUUUUAAAAAUAAAUAUAUUUUCUCUCCAAAAGCAAUUGGGUCUUUAACAGCUAACAAAAAAAAAUUAUUGUUUUUAUCAUUGACAUUUGUAACAUAUGAAGGAUGUUUAAUCAACUUUAGUGCCAUAAAAGUAGUGCAAUAAAAAGUUGCAAAUGCAACUUUAAUGCAACUUUUAAUGCAACUUUUUUAAAAUGCUAUUAAAUCUUUAAAACAGACCAAUUGAUUUAGAGCAUUUAAAGCAGCUAAUCUAAAGCAAUCCUUGAUUUACUAAAUGCUGCAAUCAAAAAUAGUCCUAAAUUUACUAAGCACGAAGAUGUAUAUGCAAUCUUUUUAUCAAAGGAUAAUAUAAAAAUUAACAACUACAUUAUACAAAAAUAAAUUCAGCUUAGACGACGACGGUGCUAUAACAUAUUUAGUUUUUUUUUAUAUAUAAUAAUAUUUAUUAAUUUAUUGUUUAGCCCAUCUUAUGAUCCGAAAUAUAAAUACCUAACACAAAUAUAAUACAUUUAAACAAAACACAAUGCAGAGUUGCUAAUUUCCAAAGUAAAUCUUUCUAAUGCAAAGGCUUUGAUACAAAUUCCUUUUCCACUUUCUGUAUUUAUACAUCAUUUAUUUUCUUUUUAUGAAUAACUGCAAUUACAUAGUUUGUUAUUACACCUGGAUAAGCCUCCUGACCAUCAAAUGUCACUUUCAUGACAGAAUAAAGUCUGGCUAGCCAAAUAUUUGUGGCUGGCUAACCGCCUAUUAUUCAUAGCUUGUUAGCUCACCUAAAUUAUGUCAUAGCUUGUUAGCUCACCUAAAUUAUGUCAUAGCUUGUUAGCUCACCUAAAUUAUGUCAUAGCUUGUUAGCUCACCUAAAUUUUGUGAUAGCUUGUUAGCUCACCUAAAUUAUAUCAUAACUUGUUUGCUUAUAUAAAUUAUAUCAUUGCUUGUUAGCUCACCUAAAUUAUAUCGUAGCUUGUUAGCUCACCUAAAUUAUGUUGUCAGAAGAAAUAUUAGUUAAGUUUAAAUUUUUUUUAAUUUAAGAAAAUUCUUGAAAUGACUGUUUUUAAGUCUGUUAUCUCAUAGAUGUGCAGAUAAAAGGCUCUUUAUCUUUAUGUAUUAACGAUUGCAACUCUACAGUUCUUUUGUACUUACGCACAAAGGAAUUCUUGUGUGAAUGCAUAUAGAUGCUGUAGCGCUAAACUUGCGAAAGAGAAGAUUCAACAGAAAAAGUGAACAGCUUAACAAUUUUCAGGUUAUACAGUUAUUAUUAAUAUGCUAAGAAAAUAUGAAAGUAGAGCUUCUAAAAGGAGAUUGAAGAAAAAGAGAGAGGAAAUGGUAACCAAAAAUAACAAAUUUUUUUCCAUCAAACCAAAUCAAUAUGCAAUUUCCACAAACUGUAGAAAAUAAUAAAAACAAUGAAAGAAAAGAUAAAAACAAUAACACGGAAAAUGAGGUAGCCUGCCUCGAUCCUUAAAAUAAAAUUUGCGAGGUUGAAAGUGUUGAAUCUACAAUGCGUAAUAAUGAUAUUGACUCAGAUACUAAUCUACAUGAAGACCUUUCUUUAUGACCAUUACAACUAAAGGAAAAUGAGCGUAUAAAGUAUUUAAACAAGAAUUUUCAACCGAUUACGACAAUGUAUUUGUCAAAAGGGGUUUUUACAAUUGGAAAAAAGCUGAACAAACUAUUUUGGGCACGAAAACAACUAGGAACAUAUUCAAUGUAUGAUGAAGUGAAUAGAAUUCAUAAAAUAAAGUACUCAUAUCGAUGAAUAUAUGGCAAGCCAGAUUAAAGCCAGAUUAAAGUAGCAGCUAUUUGUUUUUGAGCCGGAAGAGGUUUAACAUUGUGAUGUCAUAAUGAAGUUAUAUAAUCGUAAAAUAACGGAAAUUACUUAGGCGUGUUAGAACUGUUGACUCAAUUUGACCCAGUUUUAAAGCAACAUAUUGACACUUUUGAAAAUAAAGGCAAAGGUAAUGUAUCUUAUUUGUCUAAAACUAUUUGUGAAGAGCUAAUUGAUAUCAUGUCUCAAAAGGUUUUAACACACAUUAUUAGCGAAAUAAAAAAAGCAAAAUACCGAGGAAUUAUCUUAGAUUCUACGCCUGAUAUUUCUCGCGUGUAUCAACUUACUGUGAUAUUUCUUUAUUAUCUAAAUGACCACGUGUAUAAGCAAUUUUUUUGUUUUCCACAUUUUAAAACCCACAAUGGUGAAUCCUUAAUUACUAGCAUUUUAGAUCUACUGGAAAAAAAUGGUAUUGAUAUAAGCAAUUGACAAGCGUACAAUGAUGUAAGCAAUAUGUCUGGUAAAAUUCUGCAUUACAAGCACGUUUAAAAGAGCGCUGGACAUUCUUUAAACUUAGUACAGCAGUACAGUGUAAGUGAAUGCAUCAACUCUAUCGACUAUUUUGGCGUUCUGCAGAGUUUGUGGGAUUUAUUGAAGGAAAAGCAUGCUAUACUUAAGCGUCUAUCAGAUACACGAUAGUCAUGUAGGUUAGGUGCUUCAAAAAAGUUAAUCGAAAAUUUAAAUGGGAUUCAUGCAACGUUAUGUCUUAUAACUGAGGAUACAGAAGAAAAGUCUGAUCUUCGUCAUGAAGUUGUGUGUUUAUUAAAUAAGAUCACUAAUAGUUAAUAAUAACUAAGAGUUUGCAUUCAUCGUUGUGCUUUAGCAUUACAUACUUAUGAGGUUAAAUAAAGUUAGCAAAUUUCUUUAAAAAGUUGAAUUAGAUUUACAUACAGCAAGCAGUAUGUUACUUUUCACUAAUUGAAUUUGUAAAAAACUUAAGAAACAACUUUAAGAGAUUUGAGAAUGUAUCAAAAAAACUUAGCUCGUUUAUUAAAAAAAACUAUUCUGAUAAGAACAACAGAAAAGUAAUCAAAAAAUUGAGCAAGGGAGAAAACCAAGUUGAUACUUUAAACCUAUCUGACAAGUUUCAACUGAAUCCAUUUUUUUUCAAUAUUUAACAAACUUGUGACACAAAUAACUAUAAGAAGUGAUGAUUACAGCAACAUAAAUAAGUUAUUUGGAUUUCUGUCAAAGCUGUUAACUAUUAGUAUCAUUGAAUUGGAAGUUAGCGCAAAAAAAUUGUAGAAGUGUAAUCAAAUUAUUUAGACGAUAGUUUCAUUUUUUAAAUAGAACAAUUUGUAUCAUUACUAAAGUUGCAGCCUCCAGGUUUUUUUCUCAUAAAAAGAUAAUUCUGAAACUAAAACCACAUUGGUUCCUCUGCAUGUUUUAAGUUAGAUUGUUGAAACCGAUAUUAUUGAUGUAUUUCCAAAUUUUUAUAUAGAAUAUUGUUUGUUUCUAACAAUUCCCAGAAAAAAUUGCGAGGCUGAGAGAUCAUUCUCUGCUCAUAAAAGAGUAAAGAACAUGCACCGAUCAACAAUGCUCCAUAGUUGUUUAAGUAAUAUAGCAAGAUCAAUUACUAAAUUAAAAUUGUUAUAAACUAUAGAUUUCAGCGACGUGAUAGCCGAGUUUACGGAAAAGAAAAGCAGAAAGAAAUCACUUUACUUAAUUCAAUAAAAUAAAUAUAAAAUCUAAACUUAAAUAAAUAUCAGCGAUAGCUGUUUCAAAAAGUCUUUAUUUUACAAAUUUUUGUCGUUGCCCAUGAAAACGGGUUUUUUACUUUAAAAUAGCCCUGGGCCCCGAAAAGUCCUAAUCCGUCAUUGGAAAACACGACAAGUUUUGUGACUUCUCACUUACAAGUAGAGUCAAUUCUCGAAAUAGAGAUAAAAAAUUUUGAAUUUUUUGUAGAAAUUCUAAUUUUUCAGUAAGAAAACAUC